GUUGUUGGCCAUACUGUAUUUGGGACCAUUUUAUAACAGUUUGCUCUAAAAAGUUCAUUUUUUUACCAGAUGGACGAUGUCAGUGAUCACUUUCCGAUUGAGUUGGAGCUUCUUCCUGAUCCAACGUAUCCAAAUGACGAGUUAUAAAGUGAAUGACACAUGUCAAUCAAGCAUUGGUUCUCAUAAGCCUACCUUGUUCACGUUAAGGCAUUUUAGUCCCCAUAAGAUGCUGUUAUUCAACAGUGGGUUGAAACGCGUUUGUAAAUUUGGAUGGCUAUGGAUGAGGUCUAUUUGUCAUUAAAUGUACCCCUAACUGGUUCUAAAUUCAGAGUGGAUAGUUAUCAAUAUUUUACUGUUUCAUUUUCGUUGUUGGUUACAAUUUGUGGUUUGAUCCUCGGAUACUUAUGACUCGAAUAUGCUUAUGUCUUCUAUGAUGAUAAAUUCUUAUUGUGAGUAUUGAUAAAUUGUGUAUUUUAUGGAUGUUCUGCUUUUGCCUUUGUUGUUAAAAUUUGUAAAUGAUCAAUAUGCCAGUUCAAAUUAUAUGAAUGGACAAUAAAGUAUAAUUGAGAUUGAAAUAUUUAGGACUAUACAAAGACGUAUAUGAAUGCUGGAAUGCAGGUAGGCCUAUUCUAACGGAUUUGGUGCGCCAACAACAUCUAUCAGGAUAGAACAGUUAUUUACUGGUACUAUGUUUAAAUUGUCUAUACAGUAUACAGUGUCACAAAUACUAUCUCCCAGUUGUGUUAAGCAUUUACUUUAUGUUAAUUAGAUGGAAAAAACAGACAUCUUAAUGUAAGCUAAGUAAUUGUAUUUUUCAUGUUUGCUUUGUACAUUAUUUAUAAGCAGGUUAGGGAGUCUAGUUUCUUCAGUUUAUUGGAAAGAAUACUUAAAAACAAAAUUAAUUUCUUUAGUUAGGAAUGUUAAUGUACAAUUUAGUAUACUGAAGAAUAAUGCCUCUCUCGCUGCUAAGAGAAAAUCGGCACCUUGUUAAAUUUAAGACAUUAGGCUGGGUGUUCGCUCAAACGAACGAACAAAAUUACAGUUAAAUUCAAUUGCUUUUAUAUUGUUAUUAUAAUGCGUACAUUUAUUGAUAUAGAUAUUCUUUACUCAUAACAAAGGUCAUAAUAUUUACUUUCCUCGUUAGGGGAACUUAUUUAUAAUGGAAACAAUUAGAGACUAAUACCUUAUCGAGUAAUAGGUUAGUUAAUUGCUCAUUAUUGAAUAAGUACAUGCAAAAUAAUAGAUUGUUUAUAAAUAUAUAAACAAAUAUAACUAAGUAGGUCGACACAUAGUAAUGUUUAAUUUAGCAGUCAGAUAUACGUGAAUGAGUAAUAAUAAUAAUAAUAAUAAUAAUAAUAAUAAUAAUAAUAAUAAUAAAUUAAAAAGAUGUAAUUACAAGUAGAAAAUAAAAAAGGAAUAGAAUACCACUCAGCCUGAUACUCAGAUGCAAAACUGAGCUGGAGGGGCAGAGCCUUCAAAUUGAGGUUAGCUCAUUAUUAA